GCCCGCUUGGCUCAGUGGUAGAGCGUGUCACUAGUAUCCCUGUCCUGCAGUGCUUCCGGAUCCAUGACAAGGUCAUCAGUUCGAUUCUGAUAGUGGGCA